rnacentral:rRNA from 1 species
CGGGAGUAACACGUGGGUAACCUGCCUUAUGAGGGGGAGUAACAGAGAGAAAUCACUGCUAAUACCGCAUAAGCACACAGUACCGCAUGGUACAGGGUGAAAAGAUUUAUCGCCAUAAGAUGGACCCGCGUCUGAUUAGCCAGUUGGCAGGGUAAAAGCCUACCAAAGCAACGAUCAGUAGCCGAUCUGAGAGGAUGACCGGCCACAUUGGGACUGAGACACGGCCCAA